rnacentral:rRNA from 1 species
ACGGUUACCUUGUUACGACUUCACCCCAAUUAUCGAACCCACCUUCGGCCGCGCCCUCCUUGCGGUUAGGCUACGGACUUCGGGUGUUCCCGACUCUCAUGGUGUGACGGGCGGUGUGUACAAGGCCCGGGAACGUAUUCACCGCGGCAUGCUGAUCCGCGAUUACUAGCGAUUCCAACUUCACGCAGGCGGGUUGCAGCCUGCGAUCCAAACUGGGACGGCUUUUUGAGAUUUGCUCCACCUCGCGGUCUCGCCUCUCUUUGUUGGCCGCCAUUGUAGUACGUGUGUGGCCCAGGACGUAAGGGGCAUGAUGAUUUGACGUCGUCCCCACCUUCCUCCGUUUUGUCAACGGCAGUCUCGCUAGAGUGCUCUUGCGUAGCAACUAACAAUAAGGGUUGCGCUCGUUGCGGGACUUAACCCAACAUCUCACGACACGAGCUGACGACAACCAUGCACCACCUGUCUCUACUUUCCCCGAAGGGCACCUAAUCCAUCUCUGGUUCGUUAGUAGGAUGUCAAGCCCUGGUAA